rnacentral:tRNA from 2 species
GCGGGUGUGGUAUAACGUUUAUUAUUCCUGCCUUCCAAGCAGGCGACGAGGGUUAGACUCCCUCCACCCGCACCA